UACGUAGGGUGCGAGCGUUGCCCGGAAUUAUUGGGCGUAAAGAGCUCGUAGGCGGUGUGUCGCGUCGGCCGUGAAAACCUGCAGCUUAACUGUGGGCGUGCGGUCGAUACGGGCAUCACUGGAGUUCGGCAGGGGAGACUGGAAUUCCUGGUGUAGCGGUGAAAUGCGCAGAUAUCAGGAGGAACACCGGUGGCGAAGGCGGGUCUCUGGGCCGAUACUGACGCUGAGGAGCGAAAGCGUGGGGAGCGAACAGG
rnacentral:rRNA from 1 species